rnacentral:rRNA from 1 species
GCGAUUUCCGAAUGGGGAAACCCAGUGUGAUUCGUCACACUAUCAUUAACUGAAUCCAUAGGUUAAUGAGGCGAACCGGGGGAACUGAAACAUCUAAGUACCCCGAGGAAAAGAAAUCAACCGAGAUUCCCCCAGUAGCGGCGAGCGAACGGGGAGGAGCCCAGAGCCUGAAUCAGUGUGUGUGUUAGUGGAAGCGUCUGGAAAGGCGCGCGAUACAGGGUGACAGCCCCGUACACAAAAAUGCACAUACUGUGAGCUCGAUGAGUAGGGCGGGACACGUGGUAUCCUGUCUGAAUAUGGGGGGACCAUCCUCCAAGGCUAAAUACUCCUGACUGACCGAUAGUGAACCAGUACCGUGA